GAUGAACGCUGGCGGCGUGCCUAAUACAUGCAAGUCGAGCGGUAAGGCCUCUUCGGAGGUACACGAGCGGCGGACGGCUGAGUAACGCGUAGGAACGUACCCCAAAGUGAGGGAUAAGCAUUGGAAACAGUGUCUAAUACCGCAUGUGAUCUAAGGAUUAAAGCUCCGGCGCUUUGGGAACGGCCUGCGUAUGAUUAGUUUGUUGGUGGGGUAAUGGCCUACCAAGACGACGAUCAUUAGCUGGUCUGAGAGGAUGACCAGCCAGACUGGGACUGAGACACGGCCCAGACUCCUACGGGAGGCAGCAGUAGGGAAUUUUCCACAAUGGGCGCAAGCCUGAUGGAGCAACGCCGCGUGGAUGAAGAAGGUUUUUCGGAUUGUAAAGUCCUUUCGGCGGGGACGAUGAUGACGGUACCCGCAGAAGAAGCCCCGGCUAACUUCGUGCCAGCAGCCGCCGUAAU
rnacentral:rRNA from 1 species